rnacentral:rRNA from 1 species
CCUACGGUAGGCAGCAGUGAGGAAUAUUGGUCAAUGGGCGCAAGCCUGAACCAGCCACGUAGCGUGAAGGAUGACUGCUCUAUGGGUUGUAAACUUCUUUUAUAUGGGAAUAAAGUGAAGAAUGUAUACUGCUUUGCAUGUACCUUAUGAAUAAGGAUCGGCUAACUCCGUGCCAGCAGCCGCGGUAAUACGGAGGAUGCGAGCGUUAUCCGGAUUUAUUGGGUUUAAAGGGAGCGUAGGCGGGUUGUUAAGUCAGUUGUGAAAGUUUGCGGCUCAACCGUAAAAUUGCAGUUGAUACUGGGAGCCUUGAGUACAGUAGAGGUAGGCGGAAUUCGAGGUGUAGCGGUGAAAUGCUUAGAUAUCACGAAGAACUCCGAUUGCGAAGGCAGCUUGCUGGACUGUAACUGACGCUGAUGCACGAAAGUGUGGGGAGCAAACAGGAUUAGAUACCCGUGUAGUC